UACGUAGGGUGCAAGCGUUGUCCGGAAUUAUUGGGCGUAAAGAGCUCGUAGGCGGUCUGUCACGUCGGCUGUGAAAUCCCGAGGCUCAACCUCGGGUCUGCAGUCGAUACGGGCAAACUAGAGUAUUGCAGGGGAGACUGGAAUUCCUGGUGUAGCGGUGAAAUGCGCAGAUAUCAGGAGGAACACCGGUGGCGAAGGCGGGCCUCUGGGCAAUAACUGACGCUGAGGAGCGAAAGCGUGGGGAGCGAACAGG
rnacentral:rRNA from 1 species